AACGCACAUUGCACUCUGUUUGCGCAGAGUAUGCCUGUUUGAGAAUCUAUAGUAUUCUUUUUCUCUAUAAAGUUUUUAAUUUUAUAUGGGAAAGUUUUGCGGAUUUUGGGUUAUUAAAAAUACCCAAUUCUGUUAAAUCUAUAGUCAUUUUUUUUAUAGUAAAUGUUUGAACUCUCUAUAAAAACUUUGCAGAAAUGUAUUUGAAUGAACCUACCAGUUCUCCUUAUACAAAUUACGCAGAGAGAGAUUAGUUUUCUAUAGAAAAUAAUGCCCAUAACCAUUAAAAAAGUUAAUUGUAAGAUUGACUUUUGAACCAUGGUCUCAAAUCAGGUAGGAUUACCCGCUGAACUUAA
rnacentral:misc_RNA from 1 species